rnacentral:rRNA from 1 species
ACGCNGGCGGCAGGCCUACACAUGCAANUCGAGCGAGACCUUCGGGUCUAGCGGCGGACNGUUGANUAACGCGUGGGAACGNGCCCUNCUCUACGGAAUAGUCCCGGGAAACUGGGUUUAAUACCGUAUACGCCCUUCGGGGGAAAGAUUUAUCGGAGAAGGAUCGGCCCGCGUUAGAUUAGGUAGUUGGUGGGGUNAUGGCCUACCAAGCCUACGAUCUAUAGCUGGUUUGAGAGGAUGAUCAGCCACACUGGGACUGAGACACGGCCCAGACUCCUACGGGAGGCAGCAGUGGGGAAUCUUAGACAAUGGGGGCAACCCUGUUCUAGCCAUGCCGCGUGAGUGAUGAAGGCCUUAGGGUCGUAAAGCUCUUUCGCUGGGGGAAGAUAUGACUGUC